CACGUAGGGCGCAAGCGUUGUCCGGAAUUAUUGGGCGUAAAGAGCUCGUAGGCGGUCUGUUGCGUCCGCUGUGAAAUCUCGGGGCUUAACCCCGAGCCUGCAGUGGAUACGGGCAGACUAGAGGUAGGUAGGGGAGAAUGGAAUUCCCGGUGUAGCGGUGAAAUGCGCAGAUAUCAGGAGGAACACCGGUGGCGAAGGCGGGUCUCUGGGCCGAUAUUGACGCUGAGGAGCGAAAGCGUGGGGAGCGAACAGG
rnacentral:rRNA from 1 species